rnacentral:lncRNA from 1 species
UUAUAUAGACAACACUCUCCAGCAGCAGGCAAACAGAUCUUCUGGCUCUCACAAUCUUUCUAUAAUAUAUGUAAUUACUUGUUUAACAUCCUUAUCCUGCUGCUUAUUUUCUGCAUUUCCACCAGUUGUGGAUUUUUCUAAUUGUUUCUGUCUGCUGAAAACAGAAGCUUAUUAAUGAGGGAGUAAGUAUUUAGAAUAUAGUUAGAAAAUACAUUAGUUUACAAAAAUGACAAUAGUAGGUACCCCUCUAUGAUCUGGGUCUCCUGUAGACCUACAUGUAAAGACACAAAGAAAGAUGGUAUUGUGGGAUUUUUAGGUAGAUGGUCAGAAGUGGAAAACAGUGUACUGAAUGAGGCGACCAGACCCAGAGACAUAAAUGCUACAUACCCUCUCUCAUUUGUGGAUCCUAGCUCAAGAUAUUGGGAUUUGAGUAUGCCAUGUGAAGUCACCACAGUAGCUAGAAAAAGAACCACAAACGUAGAAAAGGAUCAUGAAAGGAUGGGGCAGAGGAGCUCUCAUGCAUGGUAGGGGAAUGAGAGGAGUUUUGAGCUUAAGAUUUAGGUUGUUUAAAUUUUAUGUGUAUGUUUGCAUGUUUGGUGAAUGUAUGUGCUUAUGUUAUCAGAAGAGAACAGAGGAUCGCCUGAGCUAAGUGAACAUGGCUGUGAGCCACCCAAUAUGGGGGCUAGGAAGGGAAUCUGGUCUUUUUGUUGCACAAGAAGAAAUCUGAACUGCUGAGCCAGAUCCCCAGUCCGGCCCGAGUUUUUUAUUUAUUAUAUGUUUUUACUUUUUUUCUUCUUAAUAGUAAAUAAAUAAAAGCAGAUAUACACAUGGUUGGAAUUUCUAUUCUUUUCUAUGCUACCCCAGAAGAACUCUAUAAGUGUCUGGACAUGCUGUAGAAUCCAGUUUGUGACCCCAAUUUGUGAUUCUUUUGUUUCCUAAAUACGGUAGUACUUGUGUCAGAGAAUGGUAUAUGCUUCCAGGAAAUUUGACUUCUUCCUCAUUUCUAUUGUUUUCCUUCCCCAUAACUUCAUGUUUUCUCCCCUGUGAACAUUUCUUGAGUUCAACUGCAAUGAGAGACAAUGGAAAAUGCCAUCAAUAGGACAAAUGGCUACGUGAUUCCUAUUCUGGUAGGAGUUUAUUGCUUGUUUGCCUUUGGACAGUGGCCUCUUGUGGGGACACAAGUGAGAGAGACCUUCAUAGCUCAUGAGUCCCAAUGUGAUGCUUUGACCUAAUUAGUUUAUUUUCACCACUGUGUAAAAAGAUCCUAGAGGGAAAAAAUAGACCUUUCCAGGUGUGAGCUAUUACCCUGAAAUAGCAUUUCCCACCUGCACUUGUCUGUGAUCAUAGUCCAUUAGUAGAAGUCAGAGGACACCCUGUCUUCUAUCUAGACUCUUGGGACUCAUAGACUUAAAAAAUAAAG